GCCCGAUUUAGACCAGCAGAGCUCGCCCGGGCGCUUCAUUCAUUCGUUUUGUUUUAAGGCCCUGGCGGCGGAUCCCUUGGAAAGGGGAGGAGAUCGCUGUCUGUUUCAAAGACAUUUACACCGGCCAGGACGGAGGCCCUGGGAAGUGUGCGCUAGAGGGAACAGCCGGGCGGCCGAGGGCGGAGAGGCGGCGCGAAUGUGACCUCAGCGGCCGCCGCGCUCCCUCCCGCCCUCUCCCGCUCCGGGCUCGGGUUUCUAGGACUGCCUGGAGAAGUGUGUCUUGUGCACAGCUCUGGAAUGCAUUUGGCAGGCUGACGAGCAGCGAGGGGCAGCAUCCUGGAGGGAGGAGGGGUGCAGCUCGCCCGCGCGCCGCCGGCAGGUUUCCUCCCGGCCUGGAAGACCUCCGGCACCCGCCACUCGGCCUCCCGGCGCGCUAACCUUGCCCAGCCAGCAGACCUGCUUAGAGCAUCCAAUCGCAUGCGGGGCCUGCUUAGGGUCAGAGAGUUUAUUCCUUCACCAUAGGUUCCAGAGAAAGCUAUCCCCAGAUGCAAGUGAUUGCUAGGAAGUAGAAAAGGGAGCCCUACGUUGUGGAAGGAAGACAACAGUAUAGGACCAUCAGCAGGACCGGACAGAGAGGGGCACGUAAGCAGUAAUUACUGGAUGGCAUAGUAAUUCUACUAAAAAUUAAAAUGCCACUUAUUGGAAUGGUGUGUGAACACUCUAAAGCAACCCGGGAAGAAGACAGCAGUCAAGAAGACCAAGGAAGGAAAUGGAGGAGGGAUGACCCCACCAUUACAGGCAGGGAAGGACUGACCAAAGAGACAGAAAUGUAGUCUAGGAAAUGUGUCAUCUUAGAAAGGAACGGGAAGGGGCUGGAGAGGUGGCUCAGAAGUAAAGAGCAGUGGAUGCUCUUUCAGGGGACCUGAGUUGGCCUCCUAAUGUCUUCAGGUACCUCCUAACUGCAUGUAACUCCAGCUCCGGGAGAUUCUGGAUUCUUCUGGUCUCCACGGCACUGCGUUCACGCGCACGCGCGCGCGCACACACACACACACACACACACACACACAAAUUAAUCUUAGAAAAGCAUAGGAAGCCUGAUUUUUUGUUUGUUUGUUUGUUUUGGGGUUUUUUUUUUGUUUGUUUUGUUUUGUUUUUGAGACAGGGUUUCUCUGUAUAGCCCUGGCUGUCCUGGAACUUGUAGACCAGGCUGGCCUUGAACUCAGAAAUCCGCCUGCCUCUGACUCCCGAGUGCUGAGAUUAAAGGUGUGCACCACCACACCCGACAAGGAAGCCUGUUUUAAGAAGUGAUUCCAUGGAGGAGUUCUGCGGCGGCUCAGGGCUUGACUAAACAGUGGACCUCAGACCCGAGGGUGAAGGAUGAGGAGGAUGGAAGAAAAUGGGAGUGGCGCUUGCUGCAAAGGGUCUCGAAGGGUCUCAGCACCUGCGAACUGGCUCCAAUCCAAACUCCACUAUUCAUGGUCAAGUUCACAUAGGGCUUGGGGUUCUAACAAGAUGUGACUAAACUUACGUUUUCUAUCUUAUUGAUUGUUGUUGAUGCACGUCUGGUGGUACAUGCUUGAAGAACACAGACACCCUGAGAAGAAAGACAUAGCUCCCCAGAUUCCAGCACGCACUUCUCUGUGAGCUACCACUGUAGCUGAAGAUACAGGGCUCAGGAGGAACACUUGGCCUUCGCUCUGAACUUCAGGCCCACGUAACCAUCAGCCGACAUGACACUGCAAAGGCACCUUAGCUCUGCUGUCCCAGAUGGCCAAGCCAACCUUAUUCCAGAAGCUACUUCUCCUGAUGUAAGAACCAGACACAAAGGACAACCUCUGCCUCACCCUCCUUCACACAACACUGAGUCUGUCAUCUUUGAAGCAUUUCUCAAGCCAUGUUUAUUCCCCUGGCCUACGUGGAACACAGCCAGGGUACGGAACACAACCUCAGCACCGGUCUGCUUUCCUCUCCCCAUUUCUGGUCUUUCUCAGAUGCCCAGAGCUCCUCUGUCCCAAUGACUGCUUAUCAAAGAUCUCACUGUGUCCCCACCCAAGGGGUCUUUGGCCACCCUGUGAAGUCCUAGUGGCCUGGAGUUUGCCCCCUUUCCCAGACACCUUAGGGUUCCUGCUGCAGCUCCAGAACUGGGGGAGCAGGGUUGGGGGUGAGUGUGUGUGUGUGUGUGUGUGUGUGUGUGUGUGUGUGUGUUGACUCACCCUGCAGUAUUCUCUCCAUCUGCACAGGUCCCCAGUCUCUGAGACUGAAUCACCCCUCUUUCACUAUGCCUCUGCACAGCUGCCCUUGUGCUCCCUCUCCUUGCCCCGCCUCUUUUUAAGACAGUAUUAUGCAGCCCUGGCUGUCCUGGAACUUAUGUAAACCAGCCUGGCCUUGAACUUGCAGAGAUCCACCUGCCUUUGCCUCUGCCCCUGCCCCUGCCCCUGCCCCUGCCCCUGCCCCUGCCCCUGCCUUUCUGCCUCUGCCUCUGCCUCUCUGCCUUUCUGCCUCUGCCUCUCUGCCUCUGCCUCUCUGCCUCUGCCUCUCAAGUGUCAGGGAUUAAUGCCUGCCACCUCCCCAGUCCCACCCCUCUCCAUCUACCAUGUGGGUUCCACGGGGCAAACCCAAGUCAUCAGGCUUGUUGGCCAGUGCCUUUAUCCACUGAGCCAAGCCGCUUGGUGUGUCUUUGAUGGUGAUUAUUUACAGGAGCUAUUCAGCAAGGUUAAAUGCUGGCAACCCAAUGAGGGGGUCUCUUGAUCCAAAACUGAGAAGUUGAGGCACUAUUUCAGAAUGACCAAAGACAGUAGAAGAAUCUAGAUAUGUCGAUGAUGAGAACAAUGAUAACUCCAAAAGCUGAGGGAAAUUAACUCAAAAUCUUCCAGCUUCCUUUUCCUUACCUAGUUUGGCGGACUCCAACUCUUGGGAUAGCUUUUUUUCUGGCCCCAAACUCACCUGAUUCGUCUGUCCACUGCCACACUGAAGAAUGAACAGCUGUCUCAGAGAGCUUGGCUCCAGAGCUCUGCAAAAAGAGGACACCUUGCCUUGAGCUGUGUUUCCAGAAUGUAUUGCAGCCCCCAGAGUCAUGUACUGUGACCAGGUGAGGACAUGCAUCUUCUGUUCUCCUGCACCCAGGGCCCCAGCAACCAAGGAUCUGGGGACAUGGCGGGUGUUUGGCAGGUUCGCACUCUGAAAAUAUUUGAUGAGACUCAGUAUAUGCUAAAUAAACACUGGAUCAA
rnacentral:lncRNA from 1 species